GGCUAGCCAUACCCAACCCCAUGACCAAAGGUCACCGACUAUACCCAAUAGCCUUUUGAGGAGGACUAACCAUGCCGAUGCCGGUAGCCACCACACCCCAUCAGCCUUUCGAAAAUAGUUAAAAAUGUUGAUAGUAUGGUUGGAAAAAGCCCCAAACUCUCCACGGGUAGCGGUAGACCUUUUGAUUUAUCUUCUCCCGAUUUCUGCCGUUCACCAUCGAAUAAAGCUCAAAUGAAGAUAUGUCACUUGCUUUGGUCGUCGUAUAUUUGCCAAUAAAAGGUUUUAAGAUGAAACUCUCUCUGUUUGUCAGCAAACUAGUUCAACCCCAAGGGAAGCAUCGAUUUCGCACAUUUCCUCAUAAACUCUGGCGCAGCCGUCGGCUUAGACGACCAGACAACAAGAUUUGUGCUGGAAUUUUGCAGUUAGCAAACUGCGCACGCCAGCUUUGAAGACUAAGAUACGGUCGGAAUUCAUAAGUUUUUAUGUUAUUUGGUGUGGUCGUUGUCGCUGAAAUAAUUAGUGAUCUCUAUUAUUGUGUUAACUUGUUAGGUUAAACACAAAUUUCAAGUUUCACAAGUUUUUCAUAUCUUAUAAUUUAAGGUAAUGAUAGUUCGUGAUCUCUAUUGUUGUGUUAUUAUAGUUGAUCAUAAGUUGUUGUAUCCUGAGAGACAGACAACCAACGAACUUCAGAACCAAAGGAGU